CUACGGGGGGCAGCAGGCGCGAAACCUUUACAAUGCACGCAAGUGUGAUAAGGGGAUCCCCAGUGCUCAUGUACUGCAUGGGCUUUUGCCAAGUGUAAAUAGCUUGGCGAAUAAGUGGUGGGUAAGACUGGUGCCAGCCGCCGCGGUAACACCAGCGCCACGAGUGGCAACCGCGUUUAUUGGGCCUAAAGCGUCCGUAGCCGGCCCUGUAAAUCCUUUGUGAAAUUGCUCGGCUCAACCGAUCAGCGCGCAAGGGAGACUGCAGGGCUCGAGACCGGGAGGAGUCAGAAGUAUUCCUGAGGGAGCGGUAAAAUGUUAUAAUCUCAGGAGGACUACCUGUGGCGAAGGCGUCUGACCAGAACGGAUCUGACGGUGAGGGACGAAAGCCAGGGGAGCGAACCGGAUUAGAUACCCUAGUAGUC
rnacentral:rRNA from 1 species